rnacentral:rRNA from 1 species
ACAUUGAGCCUUGAUGUGUAGGAUAGGUGGGAGGCUUUGAAGUGUGGACGCCAGUCUGCAUGGAGCCGACCUUGAAAUACCACCCUUUAAUGUUUGAUGUUCUAACGUUGGCCCCUAAUCGGGGUUGCGGACAGUGUCUGGUGGGUAGUUUGACUGGGGCGGUCUCCUCCUAAAGAGUAACGGAGGAGCACGAAGGUUGGCUAAUCCUGGUCGGACAUCAGGAGGUUAGUGCAAUGGCAUAAGCCAGCUUGACUGCGAGCGUGACGGCGCGAGCAGGUGCGAAAGCAGGUCAUAGUGAUCCGGUGGUUCUGAAUGGAAGGGCCAUCGCUCAACGGAUAAAAGGUACUCCGGGGAUAACAGGCUGAUACCGCCCAAGAGUUCAUAUCGACGGCGGUGUUUGGCACCUCGAUGUCGGCUCAUCACAUCCUGGGGCUGAAGUAGGUCCCAAGGGUAUGGCUGUUCGCCAUUUAAAGUGGUACGCGAGCUGGGUUUAGAACGUCGUGAGACAGUUCGGUCCCUAUCUGCCGUGGGCGCUGGAGAACUGAGGGGGGCUGCUCCUAGUACGAGAGGACCGGAGUGGACGCAUCACUGGUGUUCGGGUUGUCAUGCCAAUGGCACUGCCCGGUAGCUAAAUGCGGAAGAGAUAAGUGCUGAAAGCAUCUAAGCACGAAACUUGCCCCGAGAUGAGUUCUCCCUGACUCCCUGAGAGUCCUGAAGGAACGUUGAAGACGACGACGUUGAUAGGCCGGGUGUGUAAGCGCAGCGAUGCGUUGAGCUAACCGGUACUAAUGAACCGUGAGG